GAGCAAUACCGCGUGAGGGAAGAAGGCUCUUGGGUUGUAAACCUCUUUUAUUAGGGAAGAACAAAAUGACGGUACCUAAUGAAUCAGCAUCGGCUAACUCCGUGCCAGCAGCCGCGGUAAUACGGAGGAUGCAAGCGUUAUCCGGAAUUAUUGGGCGUAAAGCGUCCGCAGGUGGCUUGUCAAGUCUGCGGUCAAAGACAGAAGCUCAACUUCUGCCAGGCCGUGGAAACGGGCGAGCUAGAGUACGGUAGGGGUAGAGGGAAUUCCCAGUGUAGCGGUGAAAUGCGUAGAGAUUGGGAAGAACACCGGUGGCGAAAGCGCUCUACUGGACCUGUACUGACACUCAGGGACGAAAGCUAGGGGAGCGAAAGGGAUUAGAUACCCCUGUAGUCCUAGCUGUAAACGAUGGAUACUAGGCGUAGCUUGUAUCGACCCGAGCUGUGCCGAAGCUAACGCGUUAAGUAUCCCGCCUGGGAGUACGCACGCAAGUGUGAAACUCAAAGGAAUUGACGGGGGCCCGCACAAGCGGUGGAGUAUGUGGUUUAAUUCGAUGCAACGCGAAGAACCUUACCAGGACUUGACAUCUGGCGAAUCUUGAGGAAACUCAAGAGUGCCUUCGGGAACGCCAAGACAGGUGGUGCAUGGCUGUCGUCAGCUCGUGUCGUGAGAUGUUGGGUUAAGUCCCGCAACGAGCGCAACCCUCGUUUUUAGUUGCCAGCAUUGGGUUGGGCACUCUAGAAAGACUGCCGGUGACAAACCGGAGGAAGGUGGGGAUGGCGUCAAGUCAGCAUGCCCCUUACGUUCUGGGCUACACACGUACUACAAUGGUCGGGACAAAGGGCAGCCAGCUCGCGAGAGCAAGCGAAUCUCAGCAAACCCGGCCUCAGUUCAGAUUGCAGGCUGCAACUCGCCUGCAUGAAGGAGGAAUCGCUAGUAAUCGCAGGUCAGCAUACUGCGGUGAAUUCGUUCCCGGGCCUUGUACACACCGCCCGUCACACCAUGGAAGCUGGCCACGCCCGAAGUCGUUACUCCAACCCUUUUUGGGAGGAGGAUGCCGAAGGCAGGGCUAGUGACUGGGGUGAAGUCGUAACAAGGUAGCCGUACCGGAAGGUGU
rnacentral:rRNA from 1 species